CCUACGGGAGGCUGCAGUAGGGAAUUUUCCGCAAUGGGCGAAAGCCUGACGGAGCAACGCCGCGUGAGGGAAGAAGGUCUUCGGAUCGUAAACCUUUGUCAUCGAGGACGAUAAUGACGGUACUCGAGGAGGAAGCCCCGGCUAACUACGUGCCAGCAGCCGCGGUAACACGUAGGGGGCGAGCGUUGUCCGGAAUUACUGGGCGUAAAGGGCGCGUAGGCGGCCUAAUAAGUCAGAUGUGAAACCCCCGGGCUUAACCCUGGGCUUGCAUUUGAAACUGUUGGGCUUGAGGACAGGAGAGGAAAGCGGAAUUCCCAGUGUAGCGGUGAAAUGCGUAGAUAUUGGGAGGAACACCAGUGGCGAAGGCGGCUUUCUGGACUGUAACUGACGCUGAGGCGCGAAAGCCAGGGUAGCGAACGGGCUUAGAUACCCCUGUAGUC
rnacentral:rRNA from 1 species